rnacentral:tRNA from 4 species
GCAUCCGUAGCUCAGGGGAUAGAGCAGCGGUUUCCUAAACCGCGUGUCGGGGGUUCAAGUCCCUCCGGGUGCACCA